GAUGAACGCUGGCGGCGUGCUUAACACAUGCAAGUCGAACGGAAAGGCCUCAGCUUGCUGGGGUACUCGAGUGGCGAACGGGUGAGUAACACGUGGGUGAUCUGCCCUGCACUUUGGGAUAAGCUUGGGAAACUGGGUCUAAUACCGGAUAUGACCACUUCUUGGAUGUUGUGGUGGAAAGCUUUUGCGGUGUGGGAUGAGCCUGCGGCCUAUCAGCUUGUUGGUGGGGUAAUGGCCUACCAAGGCGGCGACGGGUAUCCGGACUGAGGGGGUGUACGGACACAUGGGGACUGAGAUACGGCCCAGACUCCUACGGGGGGCCGCAGUGGGGAGUAUUGCACAAUGGGCGCAAGCCUGAUGCAGCGACGCCGCGUGGGGGAUGACGGCCUUCGGGUUGUAAACUCGUUUCGCUAUCGACGAAGCCACCUUGGGUGGUGACGGUAGGUAGAUAAGAAGCACCGGCUAACUACGUGCCAGCAGCCGCGGUAA
rnacentral:rRNA from 1 species